rnacentral:rRNA from 1 species
UGGGGAAUAUUGGACAAUGGGCGCAAGCCUGAUCCAGCCAUGCCGCGUGGGUGAAGAAGGCCUUCGGGUUGUAAAGCCCUUUUGUUGGGAAAGAAAUCCUGUCGGCUAAUACCCGGCGGGGAUGACGGUACCCAAAGAAUAAGCACCGGCUAACUUCGUGCCAGCAGCCGCGGUAAUACGAAGGGGGCUAGCGUUGUUCGGAAUCACUGGGCGUAAAGCGCACGUAGGCGGACUUUCAAGUCAGGGGUGAAAUCCCGGGGCUCAACCUCGGAACUGCCUUGGAUACAGUCGGUCUCGAGUCCGGAAGAGGUGGGAGGAAUUCCUAGUGUAGAGGUGAAAUUCGUAGAUAUUAGGAAGAACACCGGUGGCGAAGGCGGCCCACUGGUCCGGUACUGACGCUGAGGUGCGAAAGCGUGGGGAGCAAACA